ACGUUUUUAGUUUAGUUUUAGUUUGUUAGAGUUUGCGUUUCGUUUUUGAUUAGAACUGAAAAAGUUUUGUUUUAGUUCUUUGCGUAUCAUUUGAUAGACGGUUGCAUUUUUUUUGUAAAGUAGUAGUGAGGACAUUUUAAAGAAUUUGUAAGCUCCCAAGCAAGGCAAACACACUACAUAAAUUGUUAUGACUUCGGUGGGUGAUUUAUUACCCGUCAUUUGAGAUUAUCUUUGUGUUGACGCGUGGUAUCAAAAAAAGAAAAAAAAAUGUUAAUAAGAAUGCACAAGGCAGAAAAUAACUAAUUUCUAUUGCUUUUUUCAUAAAGUAAUUCAACAUGUCGCUCAAUUUAUAGUGUUCCAAUAGUGUUCCAAAAUAACAGUGUUCCUAAUUAAAUCAAUAUAAUCUAUUGUCACUGCGAAAUUAAUUGUCCAUUUGAGAAAAAAUGGAACAUAGAAAUACUACAGAUGACGAUAGUUGAGCUCUUCAACUGCAGAUAUAAAGUUUGAUUUCUGUGACAACAAAAGGGUAGCUGAAUUUGGACUAUCUUUACCAAGUAACAGAAAUUAUAAAAGCACUUGUAACUCGUGUGAUCUGAUCCGAUCUGAGCUGCAGCUAAGGGCUACAUCCAAAUCUGAACCAAUUUUUGGCGCCAUUAGAACAUUUUAUCAGCGAACUGAAAAACCAUAACGAGAAUUUUUACAAAAGAUGAAGAGAUGAAAUACAGUACCGAAUCAACGCAUUCCAAGGAAUUGCUGUGGCCUAACUAAUAAAUUAUACUACAUUCUUUAUAUAUUAAAAUUGUUAAAUCGAAGAAUAAAUAA
rnacentral:sRNA from 1 species